rnacentral:rRNA from 1 species
GAGUUUGAUCGUGGCUCAGAUUGAACGCUGGCGGCAUGCCUUACACAUGCAAGUCGAACGGCAGCACGGGAGCUUGCUCCUGGUGGCGAGUGGCGAACGGGUGAGUAAUGCAUCGGAACGUAUCCUGGAGUGGGGGAUAACGUAGCGAAAGUUACGCUAAUACCGCAUAUUCUGUGAGCAGGAAAGCGGGGGACCUUCGGGCCUCGCGCUCUUGGAGCGGCCGAUGUCGGAUUAGCUAGUUGGUGAGGUAAAGGCUCACCAAGGCGACGAUCCGUAGCAGGUCUGAGAGGAUGAUCUGCCACACUGGAACUGAGACACGGUCCAGACUCCUACGGAGGCAGCAGUGGGAAUUUUGGACAAUGGGGGCAACCCUGAUCCAGCCAUGCCGCGUGAGUGAAGAAGGCCUCGGUUGUAAGG